rnacentral:rRNA from 1 species
GACGAACGCUGGCGGCGUGCCUAAUACAUGCAAGUAGAACGCAGUAGCGAACGGGUGAGUAACGCGUAGGUAACUCCUUCAAAGCGGGGGAUAACGAUUGAAAACGAUAGCAAAAACCGCAUACUUUGAGCUGGACCUGUGUUGUAAUGGCUGGUUGGUGGGGUAAAGGCUCACCAAGCCGACGAUACAUAGCCGACCUGAGAGGGUGAGCGUCCACACUGGAACUGAGAAACGGCCCAGACUCCUACGGGAGGCAGCAGGAGGGAAUCUUCGGCAAUGGACGGAAGUCUGACCGAGCAACGCCGCGUGAGUGAAGAAGGUUUUCGGAUCGUAAAGCUCUGUUGUUAGAGAAGGGGAAACUAACAAGAAAGGGAGGGUUAACUACGUGCCAGCAGCCGCGGAAAUU